rnacentral:tRNA from 1 species
GGGGUUGUAGCUCAGUGGUAGAGUGCUCGCCUAGCAUGUGUGAGGCCCUGGGUUCGAUCCUCAGCACCACA